rnacentral:rRNA from 3 species
CAGACCUCUAAUCGGAAA